GCCCACCGCGCUCGCCCUGCUCUCGGGCUUUGGCCGUGUGCGCUGAGCUGGAGCGGGAGGCGGCGCGGCUGCACGCCGCCGGGAGGGCACAGCCGGGUACCUCGUGCAGCCGCGUCUCCGCCAGCUCCCCUCGACAUCCCCGGGGCGCUGUGGGGCUUCAGUCCAGGACCGAAGCCGCCGGCUGUCACGGGCGGUCGGAUCUGCGUCCAGCCUCAGCUCCCGGAGGACAUGCGGGAGAGAGAAUGAGCCAGAGGGACACGCUGGUGCAUCUGUUUGCUGGGGGAUGUGGUGGUACAGUGGGAGCUAUUCUGACAUGUCCACUGGAAGUUGUAAAAACACGACUGCAGUCAUCUUCUCUGACACUUUAUAUCUCUGAAGUUCAGCUGAACACCAUGGCUGGAGCCAGUGUCAACCGAGUAGUGUCUCCUGGACCUCUCCAUUGCCUAAAGGUGAUCUUGGAAAAAGAAGGGCCUCGUUCCUUGUUUAGAGGAUUAGGCCCCAAUUUAGUGGGGGUAGCCCCUUCCAGAGCAAUAUACUUUGCUGCUUAUUCAAACUGCAAGGAAACGUUGAAUGGUGUAUUUGAUCCUGAUUCUACCCAGGUACACAUGAUUUCAGCUGCAAUGGCAGGUCACUUCCUGUAGAAAUAUGGACUAACUUAAACCUCGUUUUACCGCAAUCACAGCAACCAAUCCCAUUUGGCUUGUAAAGACUCGAUUACAGCUUGAUGCCAGGAAUCGUGGGGAAAAGAGAAUGGGUGCUUUUGAAUGUGUUCGUAAAGUGUAUCGGACAGAUGGACUUAGAGGAUUUUAUAGAGGCAUGUCCGCUUCAUAUGCAGGCAUAUCAGAGACUGUUAUCCAUUUUGUUAUUUAUGAAAGUAUUAAGCAAAAACUCCUGGAAUAUAAGAUUGCUUCUACAAUGGAAAAUGAUGAAGAGUCUGUAAAAGAAGCAUCAGAUUUUGUGGGAAUGAUGCUAGCUGCUGCCACCUCAAAAACUUGUGCCACAAGUAUAGCAUAUCCACAUGAAGUCAUAAGAACAAGACUGCGUGAAGAGGGAACAAAAUAUAGGUCUUUUUUUCAGACACUAUCUCUGGUUGUUCAAGAAGAAGGUUAUGGGUCUCUUUACCGUGGUCUAACAACUCAUCUGGUGAGACAGAUUCCCAACACAGCCAUUAUGAUGGCCACCUAUGAAUUGGUGGUCUACCUACUCAACGGAUAGCAACAUCAGGCUGUCAUACUAUAAAGAGGGAAGACCAAAAGAUUACAGUGGACCAUGGAGUAUCGAAGCCAGCAUGAUGGACAGAAGAAAAAUGAUUUGGGAACAUGUAACUGUACCUAAGUGGAAGUCUGGUUUUAGGAAUUAAAGUAAUUAUAAUCACAUUACUUGGUCUUUCAGUAAUGUGGGGGAAAAAACCUCAGCUGCCUCCAUGAAAAAGCCUUUAGAGGCACUCCUUCCUCAAAAUUGCCAUUUUCUCUAUCAUCCACAAGUCAGACUUGCAUUUUGUUUAUGGCAGUCAGUGUUUAUUCCAUGAGUAUUUUUUCAGUCUUUUCAACAAAGCCAUCCCUAGUUAUGUGCUAUACUAUAAACUAUCCAAAGAUAGUAUUGACAGUCAUAAAUUUCUAAUUUUGGGUUCUAUGUAAUUCUUGUAAAACAACAAUAAUAUUGAGAUCCUCAGUAUUAUUUUCACAUUUCCUUGAGAGGAUCUGGCCCAAUAUUUUAAAGUUAAUUAUUUAGCAUUAGUCACUGUUUUUGACAACUAAUGACAACUAAUGAAAUAGUGUCUAAAUAUCUUAUAUGUUUUUAUCUUUAAAAUCUUUUGGUUGCCAUUGCUAACAGGUGCUUGAUGUUUAGCAUCAUGUGGACACUUAAAUUGUUAACAUAUCAAAUUCAAACGGUAAUCAUUUGGGACAAAAUAAACCAGUAAAAUGUUGAUUUUGGGCCAUUUCAGUAAUUCGAGCAUGUCCUCAUAUCUUUUCUAAAUUUAUGCAGUUGUCUUUUCAGUGAUUUACUAGUUUUGAAUUUGGGUCAUCACAUAUCACACCUAAGUAUCAUUUUCUUAAAGUGGAAAAAAUUGACCACUUUUGUGUCUAUCUCUUUUGCUUUCACAUUAAGAAUUUGAACAUUUGAAUUAUUUUCAGAAGAUCUGUAUAGAUUGCAUUUAUUUUGUGGAGAAAAUGGUAAUUUUCAGCUUUGCCCUUAAAAGUUUUUUUCUUUAGGGCAACAUAAAUAUCUGGGGUAGUACAAACAUAGAAGAGGGCCCUCUGUUGUCUGAUGAGCAGGUAAUGAUCCUAAUUGACUUAGAUUUGUAAAUGAACAAACUGCUUUUGUAAAGAAAUGUAUUCUAUCCUAGUUUCUUGAUGGAAAUCCAUAGAAAGAUUCAAGAUAAUUCAGAUUAAGUGUGCUAACAGGAUAUAGCUUUUACAUUUGGCUGUUGAAUUCAUCUGCACCUUUUAAUACUUUAAAUGUAUUAUAUGUAUAGCCCUUAUGAAGAUGUUGGCUAUAAUUCUAUUAAGAGACUUUAGCUUAUGGAUGUUGCUAUACUCGUAUAAAAAACUUCUACAAUUAAACUCCAGCGUGGUACUCAUUUCAACAUACAGAACUGUACAUUUCGUGCAAUGGCUUUAUCUUAAGAGUGACUCUGUGAAUGCACUUUGUGGCCUUUGGGGGUGGUUAGAAAGAAUAGGGGAGAAUUCCACGUUAAGGUUAUUUUUAAAACAUUGGUCAUGUAUUAGGCAGAAACAGUAUUCAUAACAUUUUUCUGGGCUUUAGGUAUGUUUUGGAGAUCUUUAAUAUAAAUGUUUUAAGUAUUCUGUGUACACUGUAGUGACUUAACAGGAAAUUGUAGCAUGUCAUUGCAAGCUUUCUCUGCUAUCACCAAUGAAACACAGUGCCCUCUUAAAUUUCCUCACCUUCUAACUUUCUUAGAAUCAACAGUAGCUGGAUGUUUUUGAGGUGCUUUGAUUGAAAUUAAAAACAUUUCAAUCUAUUUGGAGACCAAAGGCAAAUUCAGUUUCAUCACCUUUGGGAUUAUUUAUAACUUUUAUGGCGAAUUUCAGCUUUGACAUUUAUUGCGAGGAAUAUGCCAAAAAAUAAUAGCAGGGGUUUCUAACUUAAAUCUGUAGAGAAAUUCUCCAUCUGUAGUGCUUGCCUUUUCAGGUGCCACUUGUACUGCCUAAUACAGUGCCAUUUGCCUUGUGAAGAUCUGUAAAUAUUAGUUAUAUUGAAUGUAGGACAGAAACUCUCCCUAACAUUAUGAUCUCAGUACCCCACAAAUGAUUAAGAACGAUGCGAAAACCAGCAGCUAAGUAACAUCUUAUUAUUCAGUUGUAGCAAAUUCAUAUCAAGUGUCCUUCAAGGAUGAACGUAUUUUCUAUUCCUGUUUGUAUUUAGCAAGUAAAAUUUAUGUUGACUUUUAGUGUAUUAUAUUCAGCUUUUAAAAGUGAGUUUUAUGUAUGUACUGGAAGGAAAGGAUCCUAGAGUCUUAGACUUUGUUUCUUUAUGCAACAAUUGGAAAAGAGCAACAUCAUUUAAUUUUUUUUCCCCAAAGCGCCAUCUGCUGUAGUUUUCUUUAUGACAGAGGUAAUUAAAAAAAGAAAACUAUGUAUAAAAGUUAUUUAUCAAAUUUGUCCCUGAAACAUUUCUUAGAUCUUUUUUUAAUUGAUGCAAAUGUUUAAAAAGAAAAACAUACAUAAAAUAUUGGACUUUUUUAAAAACUUGUUUUCAUCUAUUUUCUAUCAGAUAAUGUUUUAUUUCUAGUAUAGAGGUAGUCAGCACUCUUCAGGUUGAUUUAUAGUUUUAUUGUAGAAUUUUCUCAGAAAAUUAAAUUGAACUUAUUCAGGUCAAAGCAGUAGAUACUGAAAGAGCGUACUCUCCUAGAGCAGCAGAUGGAACUCUGGUACUUGUGGCUACAGAAAAUAGAAAAAUUCCUAAAUUUCAAAGUCCAAAUCUGAGAAUUGCCAACCCGGUCAUUAUGGCGUCUCAUACAGUGAUUUUAAAUUUAGGUACAUUUAUUACCAAAGCUUUGUCUUAUUUCUUAUUAUGUAUGUAACUUUGUAGAACCAACCUUAUUGGAUAGGGCCCACAAGUAAUUGAUUUGUAACUUCAACACCAAGAUUAUCACUAGAUUAUUUAAUUCAGCUUUUUGUCUCCUAAAACUUAAUGCCCACUGUGGAAUAGCAGUAGUAUAUUAGGACCCAGUAGAGUUUGGGUUCAAAAUAAUGAGUGUUUACUCUUACUGGAGCAGAAACAUGUCAGCAUUUUUAGGUUUAUUUUAAAUCACUAAAAAUACUGAUUUGAACUUAAAGGAUUUAAAUGCUAGCAGUCUGUACUUUUCCAGCAUUGUUUAUGCCUGUCUUCUUGUUUACAUGCUCUUCUGCCCAGACUGUAAGUAUUAUAGGGACUUUUUUUGGGCUGGAAAAUAAUAAUAGUUCAGCUUUUCCCUCCUCUAAUACUGUUCCUGAUUUUAACAUUUCUAAGAAUAAGAUAUUUCUGAAUGAUUUCAAUUAAAAGGAAUUUUAAUUACAUAAAAAUAUUUAAUGUACUUUCUGCCCACUUAGAUCUCUUCUCUGUCAUGCCCUUAAAUUUCUCGUUAAUCUAUAUGCUGCUGCUUUUUAUGCUACUCCUUUUAGAAAAUGAAAAUUCUAGGUUUACCCAGUUUUUAGUUUUAAACAUUUUGAAUGUGUACCCCCGCAUAUGUGAACAAUUAAAUUAUGACCUAUCAGUCGUAGGUAAAUAAUCAACUUCAAAAGAGUUGAUAUCUUUGACCAUUUAUGUGAGGGUUGCUAUUGCAUUUAUGUACAUGGCUGUAAAUUAUGUGCAUUUACUCUGUAUUUAUGUUAACUAGCUGAAUUUUAUUUGAAUUGUUAAAAUUUUUAAAAUUAUAAUAUGCUUAUGAAAAUA